GUUUUGUUUAUGAACAAUAUAUUACAAAUCGAUCCUUCUUAUGAAAUUAUUAUUAACUAAACGACCUUUGAUUUUUAUAAAAAUAGGCAUGUAAACAAAACACGCAUUUUCCUCGAUAGGCUUGUAAGAAUUUUUUGAUUACAUAACCCUUUGAAGAGAUAGAAUUGAGAUAACAAAGGAACUGGCAUUAAACGUUUUUAAUUAUCGCCUAUAUACAAGUGAAAACCCCUUUCUCAAAUCCUCUGAAAUGCACCCACGCCAAAAUGGAUAUUUGGAAUUUGCUUGGUAAUAUUGGAGAAGGCUUCGGUGGGUUACUGAAGUAUACUUGGAUCGGCAGUCUUUUGACUCUGGCACAAGAUGGAUAUAAGGUGGUUUACUUAUUUAUAGUCGCAAUAAUCAUCGUAACAAUAACUGUAACGGUAAUAUGUAUCAGAAGAUGCCAUCAAAAAGUGUUUUCCUCCAAAGAGGCCCUAAACCCCGAGGGGCCCAGGUUCAGAAAACGAGACAAAGCGUUAUUUUACGGCCGUAAGAUGAUGCGGAAAGUGAAAAAUAUCUCCGGUCAAGUGAGGAAUUCGGGGCAGGGCAAAAAGAGGAAAAUGGUGAUGAAGUUUGCCCGGAGAUUGUUGGCCCUGAAGAAAGAAGAACAGGAACAAUUAAAAGUAUUAGAACCGCCAGCGGAGUAUCUUCAAGAAGACAUUUUGAAUGACGAUCGGAUGCCCCCGGACGUUCUAUACAUGCUACAAAGCAUCCGGGUGUUCGGUCAUUUUGAAAAACCAAUUUUUCUGAAACUCUGCAAACAUACGGAAAUUAUUACCGUAAGUGCCGGCAUGUAUUUGUUUAAAAUCGGUGAUCCUGAUGAAAACUUUUAUAUCCUACAAAGUGGAAAGCUGAACGUGUUUAUUAGCAGCCAGGAAGGAACCACUUCCUUAAAAAUUGUGAAACCUGGCGAGAGUGUGACGUCUUUAUUGAGUUUCACUGACGUGCUAAUGGGUCACCCGAACCCUUACAAAACCAUAUCCGCCAAGGCCAUAGAGGACUCCACAGUGGUUAAGCUGCCAAUGACGGCCUUUCAGGAUAUUUUUCAAGAGUACCCAGAUAUCUUUAUUAGGGUGAUGCAGGUAAUCAUGGUAAGGCUCCAGAGGGUCACUUUUACCGCCCUUCACCAAUAUUUAGGGCUGAGUGCGGAGCUCGUGAGACAGAGCUCAAAACAAAAGGCCUCCUUUUCUUCCCCACUUAAAAGAAAAAGAGAAGGGGAAACCUGCAGGGAACCCAGCACCCUCUAUGGCAACCAGAGAGAAUCUUAUUUAGAUCAACCAUCUUUGUCGAAUCAAGGCCACAGACGCACCAAGUCGAGCGUAGGGGAGAUUAGUGGAAAAGUGGUCUCGCCCGGUUUUGGUGUCACGCCCGACAUGCUGGCUGACGUGGAGGCGGUCAAAGUAGAGUUCCAGGAUGUGUGUAAAAAGAGACACUCGGUGCCCGAAGAAACGUCCGAAGAGGAUUUAAUCCGAAUCGCCGGCGACGUUUUCAUUACCGAGUUGGGCCUUUUAGGGGACGACGAGGGGAUCGACCUGAAUUUGGAAAUUAGGGAAGUUUCGGCCGGGACUUACCUUAUGAAAGAGGAUUCGCAUAAAGACGUGGCUUUGGUUUAUGUUAUAUCGGGGGCACUAAUGGUCUCGCAAAAGGUAACGGACGGAGAGGAAGAGAUCCACAUGUACACGUCCUACCCGGGGGAAAUUGUCGGUGGGUUAGCGGUGCUUACUGGGGAACCCAGUUUUUUCACCAUCAGGGCCAAACAUCUCAGUAGGAUCGCCUUGUUGUCCAAAAAUACCUUUUAUAGUAUAAUGAAGGAAAAACCAAAAGUGGUCCUGUACGUGGCCAACAUGGUGGUCAAACGUCUCUCCCCGUUUGUCAGGCAAGUGGAUUUCGCUCUUGAUUGGUUAUUUAUCGAAUCAGGUAGAGCGGUCUACAGGCAAGACGACGAUAGCGAUUCCACUUAUAUCGUGCUCUCUGGCCGCUUACGUUCCGUAAUAACCGAUAAAAAUGGCAAAAAAGAACUGGUCGGAGAGUACGGAAAGGGAGACCUGAUUGGAGUGGUGGAAAUGGUGACCCAAACCAAACGCAGCACCACUGUCAUAGCCGUAAGGGAUUCCGAGUUGGCGAAACUGCCGGAGGGCUUAUUCAACGUGAUUAAAUUGAGGUUCCCGAUCGUGGUUACCAGACUGAUUAAUUUGUUGGGGCACAGGAUUUUAGGCUCUUGGAAGAAACCUACGGCAAUACAUAGCAGGAGUACCGCCAUCGAGAGUCGUCCCUCGCAAAUCAAUUUUUCCACCGUUGCCAUUGUUGCCGCGUCCGAUGACGUGCCUUUGACCGCGUUUACUUAUGAGUUGUACCAUUGUUUAACUGCGAUCGGUCCAACGUUACGUUUAACAUCGGACGUAAUAAAAAAAACCCUGGGAGCUACAAUAAUGGACCCGAACAACGAGUACCGUUUAUCCUCCUGGCUGGCCCAACAAGAGGAUCAACACAAAAUAUCGUUGUACCAAUGCGACCUAACUGUCUCCCCGUGGACCCAACGGUGCUUUAGACAAGCUGAUUGUAUUUUAAUCGUCGGUUUAGGGGAUAACCAUCCAUCUUUAGGUAAAGUGGAAAAGGAACUGGAACGACUGGCCAUAAGAACGCAAAAAGAGUUAGUGCUGCUGCACCGGGAGGGCGGGAAACCCAAGAACACCAUCGGUUGGCUCAAUAUUCGGUCCUGGGUGUCCUCCCAUCACCAUAUAGUAUGCCCCAAUAGGUUAUUCGCCAGAAAGAGUCAAUAUAGGAUUAACGAAUUGUAUUCGAAAGUGUGCGCGACCGAUCCGAACAUCCAUUCGGAUUUCUCCAGAUUGGCCCGUUGGUUAACGGGGAAAUCGGUGGGGCUGGUGUUAGGGGGCGGAGGGGCCCGGGGGGCCUCCCAUAUCGGAAUGAUCAAAGCCAUUCAAGAGGCGGGUAUUCCGAUCGAUAUGGUGGGCGGGGUGUCCAUCGGGGCUUUCAUGGGCGCCCUCUGGUGUCAAGAGAGAAAUAUUACAACGGUGACUCAAAAAGCCAGAGAGUGGUCCAAGAAAAUGACCCAGUGGUGGAGGCAGUUAUUAGAUCUCACUUAUCCGAUGACCUCGAUGUUUAGCGGUCGGGAGUUUAAUCAGACGAUUAAAAGCACUUUGGGGGAUACCUAUAUCGAGGACCUUUGGAUUCCUUAUUUUACAGUAACCACCGAUAUUACGAGUUCCUCUAUGAGAAUACACACCCAUGGUUCCUUAUGGCGUUACGUGCGCGCCUCGAUGUCUUUAUCCGGUUACAUGCCGCCGCUCUGUGACCCCAUAGACGCGCAUCUCUUAUUGGACGGAGGAUACACCAAUAACUUACCAGGUUCUCUUUGGCGGUAUGUGAGGGCUUCCAUGUCGAUCGUGGGAAUUUUCCCACCGAUUUGCGAUCCCGUUGACGGUCACAUGCUAAGUGACGGAUGUUACGUUAAUAAUGUGCCAGCGGACGUGAUGCGAAGUAUGGGCGCCGACCACAUUUUGGCCAUAGACGUGGGUUCGGUGGACGACCAGGAUUUGACCAAUUACGGCGACGUAUUGUCCGGUUGGUGGUUAUUGUGGAAACGAUGGAAUCCGUUCACGACGACCGUAAAAGUGCCUAAUUUACCCGAUAUACAGUCGCGGCUGGCUUAUGUCAGUUGUGUGAGACAGCUUGAGGAAGUGAAAAACAGCGAUUACUGCGACUACAUCCGUCCCCCGAUCGACAAAUACAAAACCCUACAGUUCGGCAGUUUCGACGAGAUCAGAGAAGUCGGUUACCAAUACGGCAAGACUUACCUGGAAGGUCUCAGUAAAUCCGGCAAUCUGCCCACUUUUAGGAGCAGCGAGAAGUUCAAUAAUAAAUUGGAGCACCAGUCGCAGUACACUUUUACCGAUUUGGCGCAAAUGGUGUGCAAAGUAUCUCGGCCUUAUGAAGAAGAUUCUUCGAGUUCGGGCCAAUCGGACAGCGAGGAUGAAGACGAGGGUAGAGGGGGCUACGCCUCAGAGCCCACCGGGGGGUUUUCAAACCCUUAUGGUCGUCAGAUGAGCUGGCACGGUCACACUAUAGAGGACUUGUUAGCUCACAUGUAGCCUAUUUCUUUACGUUGCUAUCUCUUUCUAACACACGCAGCUAUAAAUAUAAAUAUUAACCUAUCUCUCUGAUAUUCGGGAACAAUGGAUGAGAAACGCAUGCGUCGCGCCGGUGGCUCCCUCUCUUUGUCCGAAAACGAGUUGGCGUCUGAUGUGGAAUUCGACCUGAAACCUCUUGGCUCCUAGUAAAAUGUCUCAAGAAGAAGAAGAAGAAAAAAAAAACAAUAAUUUCGUGUGAUGUCAUAGUAUGUUUUAGUCAUUUUUAACGCUGCCAAAAAUAUUAUUUAAUUUAGGGGAUUAAUUAAUUAAUUAAUUGUGUGAAUGAUCGAACUAUUAUAAGUAAUUUGAAGUUUUGUAAGUGAUAUUAGGGAGUAAAGAAGUGUUUAUUAAUUGA